UGGUCAUAAUAGAAGCUUUUAGAAUGCAAUUUCUCAUUUGCUGUGGACAUACCCAUAAAAAAAAUUUCCCACGAGAUUUUCUGUAUGUUACCUUGUUAGCAACCAACAUGUUGGAAACAAUA
rnacentral:snoRNA from 1 species